rnacentral:lncRNA from 1 species
AUGCUGGGCCCCCAGCCUGCCACCCGGUGCCUCGUUAACCUUCAGCCAGCCGUCGCGCACGUGCUGACGCUUACCACGCUCGCUUCCGCGGCUUCGGACCCACACUGCGCCUGCGCGCACGGUGCUGCAACAUUGUCCGGGCUGGGCUGGAGACCCGGCCAGGUCGAAAGUCACGCGGUGCCAAGGACUAGGCCCUGGAACACGCUUCGAGGCGAGGACUCCACAAGCUGCUGCCUACCUGCACGCAGAAAGCAGCGCAUUAAGGACUGCUGGCGUCUUAUAGAUGUAAAACAUGAAGCCUGGUGUGGUGCUGCAUGCCUAUAUUCCCAGCACAUAGAAGGCUGAAGAAGGAGGAUCAGCGUGAGUUCAAGGCCAGCUUGUCCAUAGUUCAGAAGCUGGAUAGUCCCACAAUUGUCAUCUGCACACUGGCCAGCCAGAGAACCCAGUAGCUAUACAGUUCAAGAAGUUAGAAGCCUCAGAACAAGAUGGACCAAUGGUGCGACCCUCAAGGCUGAAGGCCUGCAAGCUUCCUGGAGAUUCACUGAUGUGAGUCCACUUUGAAAGACUGAAGAAGCUGGAGUUGGCUAUUUCCAG